GUAGUCACUUGGGCAACACAUACUAAAAUUGGAACAAUACAGAGAAGAUUAGCGUGGCCCCUGCAUGAGGAUGACAAGCUAUUAAGUUAAGUGCAUAAAUACUUU
ensembl:snRNA U6 U6 spliceosomal RNA